GGUUGUAUAGUGUAGCGGUUAUCACAUCGGAUUCUGAUUCAGCACCAGCUUGGUCUUUCCGGUAACCCCGGUUCGAUUCCGGGUACGACCU